ensembl:lncRNA
UUCCCUGCACUAUGACAUCACAUCUAUGUCACCAAUAGAACCCUGUUCCCUACACCUUCCCUGCACUAUGACAUCACAUCUAUGUCACCAAUAGAACCCUGUUCCCUACACAGAACACUAUGACAUCACAUCUGUCACCAAUAGAACCCUGUUCCCUACACCUUCCCUGCACUAUGACAUCACAUCUAUGUCACCAAUAGAACCCUGUUCCCUACACAGAACACUAUGACAUCAUAUCUAUGUCACCAAUAAAACCCUGUUCUCUACACCUUCCCUGCACUAUGACAUCACAUCUAUGUCACCAAUAGAACCCUGUUCCCUACACAGAGCACUAUGACAUCACAUCUAUGUCACCAAUAGAACCCUGUUCCCUACACAGUGCACUAUGACAUCACAUCUAUGUCACCAAUAGAACCCUGUUCCCUACACAGUGCACUAUGACAUCACAUCUAUGUCACCAAUAAAACCCUGUUCCCUACACAGUGCACUACUUGGUGAGAGUGUGUUUGUUCCUGGGGUUAUAUUGCAUACAACUUUCCAAUGACGUUUCCUCACGGUUCGAUAUAAAUUAAUGUUCUCAAAUUUGUUCAGAGAACGUUAAGAAACAACGUUCUUCUUUUGGGAUUGUCAGUUCUUCAAAGCAUAAUAUUUUCUACAGGUUUUUACAGGUUUCCUCAUGGUUCUACUUAGUCACGUUCAGAGAACAUUAAAAUAUUUAAUUUCAGUACUUCAGCAUAACGUUUCCUACAGGUUUCCUCAUGGUUCUACUUAGUCACGUUCAGAGAACAUUAAAAUAUUUAAUUUCAGUACUUCAGCAUAACGUUUUCUACAGGUUUCCUCAUGGUUCUACUUAGUCACGUUCAGAGAACAUUAAAAUAUUUAAUUUCAGUACUUCAGCAUAACGUUUUCUACAGGUUUCCUCAUGGUUUUAAUUUAAAGUCGUGUUCUCAGAACAUUAAGAAAUCUUUACAUAACCACAAGAAAACAUAAGAAUGAAUGUUAUUUAAAAACAUACAUUCCUUUCUCAGCAUCUACAAAACACUCUCUGCUCUUAUCUUGUUAAGUGUGUAAAUUAAAAUUAGUACCUUUUAAAAAAAAAAUUUACAAACUUUAAAUUGAAUUAGACUGAAUGUUGCCGUUUCUCUUUUUUUUAAAUAACAAGAAAUAUUAUACUGAUGCAACUUAGUGAUUAAAGGGAUGGGUUGAUGGACAGAUGGACUGAGGUGAAAAGGGGCGUGUCUCUGGUUGGAGCACCCGAAGGGAACGGUUGCUGCUGUUCUCUUCUGGAAGCCAUUUUGUAUUUAUUUUAUUUUUUUCAAGACUUGGCUCGUUACCACGGCAACAACUUCUACUCAGUCACCGGAUACAUUCACUGCACUGUCUUACAACUGGUCAGGGCAGUAUAGUGAAGCACACAGAAAAGUUUGGAAAAUUCCAGUCGUUUUCCCAAAAUUCCCAGGUUUUCCAGUUUGGGAGAUUCCCGGAAUCAGGGGGGGAACAAGCAGGAAAUCAUGGGAAUUUAAUUGAAAGUUACUUGAAUUUUACAACCUUACACACAGAUAUAGAUAAUAAUAAUAAUAACAACAACAACAACAACAACCACCAUGCCAUGUUCAAACACGUCUUUGAGAAACUGAAACACAUUUUUUUGAUCUAUAUUUGGUCCUCUCCCUGGCCCAGUAUGAGGUAUCAGCCGUCCGUUAGCCCCGAGUCUCAGUUUCACUGUCUGUUCCACUCAGUCACAGCUUAGGUUUGUGUUUUGUAGUUUUGGCCCCGUUCACACUCAGGUUCUGCCAACUGAUCUACAACACAUUGGACACAAUGGUUUGUGAUCUGAUUUAUUUUUGUGAUGCAAUGAAGAGUUUGUUGCAGAUCCACUGAGCGGUUUCUCCACACGCUUGUGUAGUUUAUUUGUGUGCAGAAAAACUCUUGUAUGAUACAACUGGCAUCCCAAAACCGUUGUGCCAAAUAUGUUGUACGUCAGUUGUAUACGGGACCACUGUCAAGACUUCAGCCGAAGUCGGUCCCUCUCCUAGUUCGGGCGGCGUUCGACGUCACCGGCCUUCUGGCCAUCGCCGAUCCACCUUUUGAUUUUCUAUUGGUUUUGUCUGGUCUUCCCUCACACCUGGUUUCAAUUCAAUCAAUUACAUGUUGUGUAUUUAACCCUCUGUUCCCCCCCCCCAUGUCCUUGUCCAGUAUUGUUCAUUGUAAGAGUUUGUGCACGUUAUGUCUGGUGUGCGAAGGGUUUUGUCCCCAUUGUAUUUAUUUAUUGUUUUUGUUCACAGUGAUUUGUAUAAUUAAACUGCUCCGUUGUAAGACAGUCUUUGCUCUCCUGCGCCUGACUUCUCUGACGCCAGUACGCACCUCACUACGCACCUCACUACGCACGUCACUACGCCUUACAGCCACUGUGGUCUGACUUCUCUGCCGCCAGUACGCACCUCACUACGCACCUCAC